UUUACUUUAGUGUAAAGAGCACGUAAAAUUUUGAUUUUUAAAGAAGAAUUCUAAGUAGUU
rnacentral:tRNA from 1 species